rnacentral:rRNA from 1 species
GUGCCAGCAGCCGCGGUAAUACGGAGGGUGCAGGCGUUAUCCGGAUUUAUUAGGUUUAAAGGGUGCGCAGGCGGGACAUUAAGUCGGCGGUGAAAUACCGUGGCCCAACUACGGGGCUGCCGUCGAUACUGAUGACCUUGAGUUAUGGUGAGGUAACCGGAAUGUGGAGUGUAGCGGUGAAAUGCAUAGAUAUUCCACAGAACACCAAUUGCGAAGGCAGGUUACCAACUGUACACUGACGCUCAUGCACGAAAGCGCGGGUACGAACAGGAUUAGAUACCCUGGUAGUCCGCGCGGUAAACGAUGAUUACUAAUUGUGUGCCUAAAGAGGCACGUGACCAAGUGAAAGCGAUAAGUAAUCCACCUGGGGAGUACGGCGGCAACGCUGAAACUCAAAGGAAUUGACGGGGGCCCGCACAAGCGGAGGAACAUGUGGUUUAAUUCGAUGAUACGCGAGGAACCUUACCCGGGCUCAAACGUAUGAUGAGCGUAGAGAGAUUUACGGGCCUAGUAAUAGGAGUCAUACGAGGUGCUGCAUGGUUGUCGUCAGCUCGUGCCGUGAGGUGUCAGGUUAAGUCCUAUAACGAGCGCAACCCCUGCUGACAGUUACUAACAGGUAAAGCUGAGGACUCUGUCGGGACUGCCGCCGUAAGGUGCGAGGAAGGCGGGGAUGACGUCAAAUCAGCACGGCCCUUACGUCCGGGGCGACACACGUGUUACAAUGGGCGGUACAGAGAGUAGCUAUCCCGUGAGGGUGAGCCAAUCUUUAAAGCCGUUCUCAGUUCGGAUCGGAGUCUGGAACUCGACUCCGUGAAGCUGGAUUCGCUAGUAAUCGCGCAUCAGCCAUGGCGCGGUGAAUACGUUCCCGGGCCUUGUACACACCGCCCGU